UACGUUUUUUAUAACCAAAUUGCCAUGCGAUACGGCCAUUUGCAUUACAGACGUCUCUUCAUUGAAAACGAAUGAUAUCAAUAGAUCUUGUUGAUCUUUAUUUUGUUUAAUCAGGCUUUUUCAACGCAUGAAGACACAAGCACGGAUAAAAAAGCAAAUCCGCUGGAAAUUGGAGAUAUAAUCCCGGUUGAAGCAUCAUCACAUUCGUUUUUAUACACGGUCCCACAACGAGUGGUGCAUCCAUUUGAAGCUUCUGCAUAUCUACAAUAUCUCCCGUAACGGCUCACGAUCUGCGUGUUUUAACGGAAUGUUUUAGAUGGACUAUUACUCCGGAACUUCCACCCUCAGUGACCAGUGGCAUCCCAGAAAGACGGGUAUCGCGUCCCUUUACUGAGCCCAAAUCAUACGCUGAAACACCAGAUAGUGUUGCUACCAGCUAAAGCUAAUGAUCGUUCGUUCAAUGGUGCUGCUGCUGCAGCUGCUACUACCGCUCCAGCCACAGGACUAUCCAAAUAUGAGGAUGACCAGUGUAUCGUAUCAAAAAUUGACAGUCGUAGAAAUUUUGAAACGGGAACAAGGUUUGAAGAAUCUUUAGGAAGAACUUCGCAACGAAUAAACUAUGUUGCUAUGAUGCUAUUGAAACAGUCUCAACACGUAAUGAUGAAAGAAAAUUUCAUCGUGACUUCAAGUAAUAGAAACAUGAACAACCCUCAAGCUUCGAUAUCGGUACCCUAACGAAAGGGUUACUCAGUGCGGUCGCAUUUCCAGCUCAUUCGAAAAACAUAAGUCAGUUAAUACAAAUCCAGUCAGUCGUGGGUCGCCUAUUAAUAUCGCGAAACCGCUUCAAUGUUUACUUUUACUUACGGGAGGUACCUAUUAUACCGUGACAUAUGUUACCCAUUGGAGCAAUCCGAACAGGGUCCAAUCUAAUUAUCACACCGUCAGUGACGAUAACUCCCACGAGCGCACCUUCGAAUAGUGUAAAAUUCAAAGCACUCUGAUAUCAGCAGUGCUUCGAGUUUGGCGUCGAUUUACCACCACUCAAGCAGAAGCGACUGAGGUCACGGUAAAACCUCCCGGAGUAGAAGGUUCAUUGCACUGAUUCACAACAUCGUAUAUAACAACGAACAAAUGUUGAUGGUUUAGAAAGGAUACCAAGAAGGAUAAGCUAUGCUCUUGAGUAACAUUGAAUAUGCUGAUGUGUAUGAACAUCCGGAUGAGGUUGUUGAGGAUCGCCAAAUGUUUUCCGAUACGGUCGAGAUGCGAGCGGAAAGAAUUAUUCCAGAAUUUAUUAGAAAAUUAUUUUGCUAUUUCGGAAACCGAUGGGUCAGAAUUAGGUGAUCGAUGUAAAGUUCAGCGAGGAUGAUAGUGAAGAGAAAAAUCUAUAGACCAUAAAAAAAGAGUUAGUGAAAAAAAUUGUUAAUUUAAGUACGUUAAACGUUUUUAAUUCAAGCAGUAACAACACUGCUUUACUCAUUGAUAAAUAAUUGAGCUGCUAUUUGGAUGAAUAAGAGUGAACAUACUAUUUCGUAAAUUUACAUGUACAUA